GUGAGCAAACUCUCAGGUGCGC
rnacentral:miRNA from 1 species